ensembl:snRNA U2 U2 spliceosomal RNA
AUAGCUUCUGAGCCUUUUGGCUAAGAUCAAGUGUAGUAGCUGUUAGUUUAAUUAUAUUCACAACAGCCAGGGAUUUGCUUUUUUAUGUAUUUUAGACCACAUUAU